rnacentral:rRNA from 1 species
AUUGAACGCUGGCGGCAUGCUUUACACAUGCAAGUCGAACGGUAACAGGCCUUCGGGUGCUGACGAGUGGCGAACGGGUGAGUAAUGCAUCGGAACGUGCCCAGAGGUGGGGGAUAACGCAGCGAAAGCUGUGCUAAUACCGCAUGUGAUCUGAGGAUGAAAGCGGGGGACCAAGCAGCAAUGUUUGGCCUCGCGCCUCUGGAGCGGCCGAUGUCAGAUUAGGUAGUUGGUGGGGUAAAGGCCUACCAAGCCGACGAUCUGUAGCUGGUCUGAGAGGACGACCAGCCACACUGGGACUGAGACACGGCCCAGACUCCUACGGGAGGCAGCAGUGGGGAAUUUUGGACAAUGGGCGCAAGCCUGAUCCAGUAAUGCCGCGUGCGGGAAGAAGGCCUUCGGGUUGUAAACCGCUUUUGUACGGAACGAAAAGGCUCUGGCUAAUACCUGGGGCUGAUGACGGUACCGUAAGAAUAAGCACCGGCUAACUACGUG